rnacentral:rRNA from 1 species
UACGUAGGGUGCAAGCGUUGUCCGGAAUUAUUGGGCGUAAAGAGCUCGUAGGCGGUCUGUCGCGUCUGCUGUGAAAACCCGGGGCUCAACCCCGGGCUUGCAGUGGAUACGGGCAGACUAGAGUUCGGUAGGGGAGACUGGAAUUCCUGGUGUAGCGGUGAAAUGCGCAGAUAUCAGGAGGAACACCGGUGGCGAAGGCGGGUCUCUGGCCCGAUACUGACGCUGAGGAGCGAAAGCGUGGGGAGCGAACAGG